AAGUGAGAAUGCCGGUGUGAGUAGCGAAAGACGGGUGAGAAUCCCGUCCACCGAUUGACUAAGGUUUCCAGAGGAAGGCUCGUCCGCUCUGGGUUAGUCGGGUCCUAAGCUGAGGCCGACAGGCGUAGGCGAUGGAUAACAGGUUGAUAUUCCUGUACCACCUAUAAUCGUUUUAAUCGAUGGGGGGACGCAGUAGGAUAGGCGAAGCGUGCGAUUGGAUUGCACGUCUAAGCAGUAAGGCUGAGUAUUAGGCAAAUCCGGUACUCGUUAAGGCUGAGCUGUGAUGGGGAGAAGACAUUGUGUCUUCGAGUCGUUGAUUUCACACUGCCGAGAAAAGCCUCUAGAUAGAAAAUAGGUGCCCGUACCGCAAACCGACACAGGUAGUCAAGAUGAGAAUUCUAAGGUGAGCGAGCGAACUCUCGUUAAGGAACUCGGCAAAAUGACCCCGUAACUUCGGGAGAAGGGGUGCUCUUUAGGGUUAACGCCCAGAAGAGCCGCAGUGAAUAGGCCCAAGCGACUGUUUAUCAAAAACACAGGUCUCUGCUAAACCGUAAGGUGAUGUAUAGGGGCUGACGCCUGCCCGGUGCUGGAAGGUUAAGAGGAGUGGUUAGCUUCUGCGAAGCUACGAAUCGAAGCCCCAGUAAACGGCGGCCGUAACUAUAACGGUCCUAAGGUAGCGAAAUUCCUUGUCGGGUAAGUUCCGACCCGCACGAAAGGCGUAACGAUUUGGGCACUGUCUCAACGAGAGACUCGGUGAAAUCAUAGUACCUGUGAAGAUGCAGGUUACCCGCGACAGGACGGAAAGACCCCGUGGAGCUUUACUGUAGCCUGAUAUUGAAAUUCGGCACAGCUUGUACAGGAUAGGUAGGAGCCUUUGAAACGUGAGCGCUAGCUUACGUGGAGGCGCUGGUGGGAUACUACCCUAGCUGUGUUGGCUUUCUAACCCGCACCACUUAUCGUGGUGGGAGACAGUGUCAGGCGGGCAGUUUGACUGGGGCGGUCGCCUCCUAAAAGGUAACGGAGGCGCUCAAAGGUUUCCUCAGAAUGGUUGGAAAUCAUUCAUAGAGUGUAAAGGCAUAAGGGAGCUUGACUGCGAGACCUACAAGUCGAGCAGGGUCGAAAGACGGACUUAGUGAUCCGGUGGUUCCGCAUGGAAGGGCCAUCGCUCAACGGAUAAAAGCUACCCCGGGGAUAACAGGCUUAUCUCCCCCAAGAGUUCACAUCGACGGGGAGGUUUGGCACCUCGAUGUCGGCUCAUCGCAUCCUGGGGCUGUAGUCGGUCCCAAGGGUUGGGCUGUUCGCCCAUUAAAGCGGUACGCGAGCUGGGUUCAGAACGUCGUGAGACAGUUCGGUCCCUAUCCGUC
rnacentral:rRNA from 1 species